rnacentral:pre_miRNA from 1 species
UACUGAAUUUCAUGUGGGCUGCUGUUUUGCGUAGCACCAUGGGAUUCAGCUCA